AAAGUACUAGUAAAAACCCAUUACAAUAUCUUGUCAAGAUAUAAUCACGAGUUAGACCCCCGUGUACUUUA
rnacentral:tRNA from 1 species